AUGUUUCCUGCAUCUCUGCUGCUGCUUCUAGCAGCUGCAUCCUAUGUUCACUGUGUUGAACUCACCCAGCCAGGUUCUAUGGUUGUGAAGCCAGGACAGUCUCUGACCAUCUCCUGUAAAGUCUCUGGAUAUUCUGUGACUGAUAGCAGCUAUGGUACAGGAUGGAUUCGACAGCCUGCAGGGAAAGUAAUGGAGUGGAUCGGACAUAUGUAUGGUGGUGGGAGCAUUAUUUCCAAAGAUUCUCUGAAAAACAAGUUCAGCAUCUCCAGAGACACCUCCAGCAGCACAGUGUCACUGCAAGGCAGCAGCCUGCAGACUGAAGACACAGCUGUGUAUUACUGUGUCCGAUACCGACACACUGCAGUAAACCUACAGCAGGCCUGUACAAAAACCUACCCUGAUGAGUAA